rnacentral:rRNA from 1 species
AGUGAACGCUGGCGGUAGGCUUAACACAUGCAAGUCGAACGGCAGCACAGUAAGAGCUUGCUCUUACGGGUUGCGAGUGGCGGACGGGUGAGGAAUACAUCGGACUCUACUUUUUCGUGGGGGAUAACGUAGGGAAACUUACGCUAAUACCGCAUCCGACCUACGGUUGAAAGCAGGAGGUCUUCGGACCUUGCGCGAUUGAAUGAGCCGAUGUUGGAUUAGCUAGUUGGCGGGGUAAAGGCCCACCAAGCCGACGAUCCGUAGCUGGUCUGAGAGGAUGAUCAGCCACAUUAGAACUGAGACACGGUCCAGACUCCUACGAGAGGGAGCAGUGGGGAAUAUUGGGCAAUGGGCGCAAGCCUGAUACAGCCAGACCGCGUGGGAGAAGAAGGCCUUCGGGUUGUAAAGCCCUUUUGUUGGGAAAGAAAAGCAGCAGGUUAAUACCCCGCUGUUCUGACGGUACCCAAAGAAUAAGCACCGGCUAACUUCGUG